rnacentral:rRNA from 1 species
UGGGGAAUAUUGGACAAUGGGCGAAAGCCUGAUCCAGCCAUGCCGCGUGUGUGAAGAAGGUCUUCGGAUUGUAAAGCACUUUAAGUUGGGAGGAAGGGCUGCUGGUUAAUACCCUGCAGUUUUGACGUUACCAACAGAAUAAGCACCGGCUAACUUCGUGCCAGCAGCCGCGGUAAUACGAAGGGUGCAAGCGUUAAUCGGAAUUACUGGGCGUAAAGCGCGCGUAGGUGGUUGGGUAAGUUGAAUGUGAAAGCCCCGGGCUCAACCUGGGAACUGCAUCCAAAACUGCCCGACUAGAGUACGGUAGAGGGUGGUGGAAUUUCCUGUGUAGCGGUGAAAUGCGUAGAUAUAGGAAGGAACACCAGUGGCGAAGGCGACCACCUGGACUGAUACUGACACU